UCAUGAAAACACAAAAUUAUUGCUUAUUUAUUAUUAAAUUAUUCACGAUCUUUUUUGAAUGUAUAGCUUUUUAGUAUUAUUGUAAAAUUACUUAUUUACUCCUGGCACUCAAAAAUAAUGUUCUAGGAAGAGGACAAUCAUUCUUAACAAUUUUUAUUUAGCUUCCUCUGAAAACUUCAUUGCGUGAAAAAUAGUAGAAAAUAGCCUUUACUGUGUGCCAUUUUUGCGGAGUACUACGAGUUGACACAUAUUGUGCAGGUUUUACUGGAAGGGUCCACGUUGAGGUCAUGGUCACAAAAAAUCCUACGCCUAUUGGCGUAUACUUGAAAGGCAGUUCCGAAGCAGAUUACCAAAGAUCACAAAUCUAUGCUCCAGUAUGUGUUUGUCAACGUCCAGAGUGUGAAGUGUUCUGUGUUCGAUGCACUCGCGGUGUAAUCUACUUCAAACAGGAGACGCCUAUCGGAAUAAGUUAUCCAUGCGCUCAGCGGUUUACCAAAGCAUACCGGCCCAACGGCAGGAAAAUUAGAUCCGAGGCAAUGCCUGCAUCGAUGCGAAUGCCAGCUUCAUCGGAAUUAACUUAUUUUGCUAGACACGAUGGAUGAGCAAUCAGAAUAAUUUGACACUGUCAGGACUAGCACGGAUCCACCGAUCGAUCAAUCUCGAGUUUGAAUUUGAAGGCAUCAGAUCCAUUAAGCAGCAGAUUACAAUGGAAUCUCCAGUGAAAUAGUGUACUAGGAAGGGAAAGAAAUAGGGCAUCAUCGUUGGGCAAGAGUUUAUCGAUCAGACGAUAGCAUUUUUACCGUGAAAACAAAAUUCCUGCAUGGUUCCGAAAUCAUAUUAAAAUUCCUGUAAUAUCAUAUCAUGAGCAGCUACCGCUCGAAGUUAUUCGCAUCCCUCUCGGUUCCAUUUGUUGACAAAAAAGAACAAAUAGGAUGGGAUAAACUUCUAUCGACUUCAACCACCUUUAAUCUGCUCAUUAGACAGCACUAUGCUGUUUCAUUCAUUUGAAAACCUAAAACUAUUUUCUAACUGUAAAAUAUAAUUUUACCGAAUA